UUAAAGGUGCAACUGGUAUAUCUGGCAUAUU
rnacentral:piRNA from 1 species